CUUCCUUGGUGGCACGAUCGGCGGGUGCUUGUCGGGGCACCUCGAUACUCGGGGACAAUCGGCUUGAGGUGACCACAGCUCUUUUUGUGCACAUCCUGCAAAUCCAAGGUACCUGUUACUGAGAGACCCACCUGUUAACCUCUGUCUGUACCUCUGCAGGGAGUGCUCCUGGCUGGCUAAAGGAGAGGAUACAGGUUAGUGCCCCAUAGAAAUCAGUGCUUGGAGGUCAGAGUCAGUGUGGAGGAUACUCUGAAGAUCUGUGGCAGCAUGUUACUCAGCUGGUAAAACAUCUCCUCAGAAAUUGUCUGAAAGAAAAACCCAACACCAGGAGGGGAAUGCUGAUGGUGGUGAUGUCGUGUGUGCAGCAGACCUUGAGGAUGUUCCUGAGCCCCAUGAUGGCCGGGUCCCGAGCGGUCACGUUCACAGACCUGACGUUGUCAUCCACGCACAGGAGCAGCAAAGACACCACCUGAACAUCACAUUCUCUCUGUGAAUUUCAUGCAGAGUUUCUUGAUGAAUGCAAACAUUCUAUUUAACAGAUGAAAUAACUGCAGAAGAGUGGCAUCAACUCUGCCCUGCCCACAAACAUCC